rnacentral:rRNA from 1 species
GACGAACCGUGCGAACGUUGUUCGGAGUCACUGGGCUUAAAGGGCGCGUAGGCGGGCUCGCAAGUCAGGGGUGAAAUCCCACGGCUCAACCGUGGAAGUGCCUUUGAUACUGCGGGCCUGGAGGGAGGUAGGGGCGUGCGGAACUUCCGGUGGAGCGGUGAAAUGCGUAGAUAUCGGAAGGAACACCGGUGGCGAAAGCGGCGCGCUGGACCUCUUCUGACGCUGAGGCGCGAAAGCCAGGGGAGCAAACGGG